UCAGACAUGGUGUAGUUGGAACACGGCCUCUGCUCAUGAAAGUCGACCAGAAGUUGCUAGAAUUAGAUGUAGUCCAGGGUUCGAAUCCUUGUGUCUGAG